rnacentral:rRNA from 1 species
GAUGAACGCUGGCGGCGUGCCUAACACAUGCAAGUCGAGCGAGAUUAAGUGUAGUGAGGGCUUCGGCCUGAGUGAAGCUUCUGAAAGCGGCGGACGGGUGAGUAACGCGUGGGCAACCUGCCCCAUACAGAGGGAUAGCAACUGGAAACGGUGAUUAAUACCUCAUAAGUCAGUAGGGUCGCAUGAUAUAGCUGAGAAAGAUUUAUCGGUAUGGGAUGGGCCCGCGUCUGAUUAGCUAGUUGGUGAGGUAACGGCUCACCAAGGCGACGAUCAGUAGCCGACCUGGGAGGGGGAUCGGCCACACUGGAACUGAGACACGGUCCAGACUCCUACGGGAGGCAGCAGUGGGGAAUAUUGCACAAUGGACGCAAGCCUGAUGCAGCAACGCCGCGUGAGUGAUGAAGGCCUUCGGGUUGUAAACUGCUUUUAUGUGCGAAGAAUUUGACUGUAACACAUGAAUAAGGAUCGGCUAACUACGUGCCAGCAGCCGCUGUAAUAC